rnacentral:rRNA from 1 species
AUUGAACGCUGGCGGCAGGCCUAACCCAUGCAAGUCGAACGAGUGGCGGACGGGUGAGUAAUGUCUGGGAACCUGCCCGCUGGAGGGGGCUAACUACUGGAAACGGUAGCUAAUACCGCAUACCAUCGGAUGUGCCCAGAUGGGAUUAGCUAGUAGGUGGGGUAACGGCUGACCUAGGCGACGAUCCCUAGCUGGUCUGAGCGGAUGACCAGGCACACGGGGACUGAGACACGGUCCAGACUCCUACGGGAGGCAGCAGUGGGGAAUAUUGCACAAUGGGCGCAAGCCUGAUGGAGCCAUGCCGCGUGUAUGAAGAAGGCCGUAGGGUUGUAAAGUUCUGUCAGCGAGGAGGCGUUAAUCGCAGAAGAAGCACCGGCUAACUCCGUGCCAGCAGCCGCGGUAAUAA